AGUCCAAGGGACACGUUCCUAGACUUGGCCGGACAUAACCAAACCGCUAACCUAGACGCUGGUCGGUUAAGACGGUCGGUUCGAAUCGCACCAUAGGCUGGACGGUUGGGCAAAACGGUUAGGCAUGUCCCAAGAGGCACGAGAUGUAGAAACCCGUUAAAAAAAAAAGAAGAAAAAAAGAAGAAAAGAGUGGUCGAGUAUCUUUGUGGUGGUCGAGUCGCGGGCGAUAAGGAUCGAUCGAGAAGUUUUAAAGUACGGAGUGGGUGAAGAAGUGAUCAUGAGUUAACUAUGAGUCGAAUAAGCUGCUCUACCAUUGUUAGAAGUGUCUUAGAUUGAUCAGACGGCAGUUUUGGAAGAAUCACAUUUUUGAAGCACGACGGUUUAGAAGCUCGACGUUUUUGAAGAUUGAUGUUUCUUCAUCGCGAAGUUUUCUUGGAAUAUCUUCAUAUCAGUAAAAUAUUAUUCUGAAGACAUUAUAAGUCGGAAGCAGGACGGGAAUUAAGCAGGACGGGAAGCAAGCACGACGAGAUUGAAGCACGACGGGAAAACCCGAAGUUGGGCGAAAACCCUAAUUUCGGUAUUACGAAAUUCUUCGAGGAGG
rnacentral:lncRNA from 1 species